GAUGAAGCAAUCGAUCCAUGAUGCAGAGCAGCUGAUGGACGAGCUGGAGGAGAUCCGGAGCCUAUUGGUUGAGAAAGACGAUGCUACGGGCAAUCUGGAGGCCUACAUCAAACAACUGGAGAAAGAGAAGGAGAUUUUGGAGGACCAGAUCGAAACCAUCGGCAGUGAGAUGUCCCGUAUUAUACCAGACAGAGCCACUGACAAGAAGAAGAUCGUUAACCUCAGCCAGGCUCUACAAGCCUUACAGCUUCGACUCGAGGAGAGCAGACUCGCUUUGGAUCACAGGGAUGAGGUCCUACGUAAGAAGGACUUUGUAGUUGAGCAGCUGGGGCAGUCCCUUACAGAGUACUCCUCCAUUGCACAGGUACAUCACACACACACACACACACAGACAUUUUACAUAUGCCUGAUACAGACCUCACACACACAGAUAUUUAACUGAAAUACACUCGGGGCUUUAUGUGUGUGUGUGUUUCUCUGUUCUCAGGAUCUGAAGGAGAAGAUGAAGGAUCUGCAGAGCCAACUGGCAGAGGCCCUAAUGUAACUACACACACAUACAUACACACACAAUCGUAACAUCCCUCACACCCUCUCUAAUUUUGUCACGUUUGUAAUCGCUCAUACCCUCUCUCUUUCCUCAUGUCUUUCUCUGUCUGUAGUAAUGGAGGAGAGGGGGGUUACAUGUCAUUAGAUGGAACUCUGUCUGCAGCCACUCAGCGCUCCAUCUCUCUAGCAGAGGAACUGGGUCUACUGCCAUGCAUGAUGGUGGGUCACAUACACACACACAUGACUGAUCAUGGCUGAGUGUUUGUCUCCUCUGUGUGGUGAUCAAGUAGUACUACAGGACAAUGUGAGUUUAGGGUUAGGUAGGGCUUAGCUGGGAGAGUGUUUUCGUGCCAGUGAAUGAGGACAGGCUGACCGUAAUGGCUGGAAUGGAAUUCAUGGAACAGAUUAAAACAUGUGGUUUCCACAUGUUUGAUGUGUUUGAUACCGUUCCAUGAAUUCCUUUCCAGUUUUACAAUGAGCCCGUCCUACAGCUUUGCACACAUACACACACCCUGGGGGAGAGACACUGUUGCUAAAUGCGUGUGUUCACUUCCUACCCCAGGAGGACUCCUCUGAUGAGGUGCAGAGGGAGGAGAAGAUAGAGGAGGAGCAGAGAGUGGAGGAGAGGGUAGAAAGACAGGCGGAUGAGAAGAAAGAGGAGGUGGUUAAGGAGGAGAAACAGAUGCUAGAGGAGAAGAGUGGUGUGUGGUCAGAUAUGGUGAGAGGUGUCCGAGCAGCAGGAGGUUUCACCCUGGGUUUCCUGGUUCCUCUGGGUGUCCUGGUCUCCAUGGUCCCCGGCUGCUACGACCACUGUACAGGACUCGGCUUCACCAACACUUUCUGGUCUACAGCCAGAUACCUCAUACAGCCAUACUGCAAUGUGCACCACAUAGGCCUCCCCCCGCUGUAAUACACACCAGAGGGAGCUGGUGGGGGGAGCUAUAGGAGGCUUAUUGUAAUGGCUGGAAUGGAAUUAUUAUCUACUUAUCAACCUAUACGCAUAUCUACCUACAUAACUAUCAACAUUCACACACACACACUUAAACAUGAAUACGACGCACACACACACAAUAAUACAACUCAAACC
rnacentral:lncRNA from 1 species